rnacentral:rRNA from 1 species
CAGGCCUAACACAUGCAAGUCGAACGCGCUCUUCGGAGCGAGUGGCGCACGGGUGAGUAACGCGUGGGAACCUGCCCUGGAGUGCGGGAUAACCACGGGAAGCUGUGGCUAAUACCGCAUACGCCCUUAGGGGGAAAGAUUUAUCGCUCCAGGAGGGGCCCGCGUCGGAUUAGGUAGUUGGUGGGGUAAAGGCUCACCAAGCCUGCGAUCCGUAGCUGGUUUGAGAGGAUGAUCAGCCACACUGGGACUGAGACACGGCCCAGACUCCUACGGGAGGCAGCAGUGAGGAAUCUUGGACAAUGGGCGCAAGCCUGAUCCAGCCAUGCCGCGUGAGUGAAGAAGGCCCUAGGGUUGUAAAGCUCUUUCAGCGGAGAAGAUGAUGACGGUAUCCGCAGAAGAAGCCCCGGCUAACUUCGUGCCAGCAGCCGCGGUAAUACGAAGGGGGCUAGCGUUGUUCGGAUUUACUGGGCGUAAAGGGCGCGUAGGCGGCCAUGCAAGUGAGGGGUGAAAUCCUCGGGCUCAACCCGAGAACUGCCUUUCAAACUGCUUGGCUUGAGAGUGAGAGAAGGUGAUGGAAUUCCCAGUGGAGAGGUGGAAUUCGUAGAGAUUGGGAAGAACACCGGUAGCGAAGGCGUUCACCUAGCUCACAUCUGACGCUGAGGC